GAUGAACGCUGGCGGCGUGCCUAAUGCAUGCAAGUCGAGCGAACAGACGAGGAGCUUGCUCCUUUGACGUUAGCGGCGGACGGGUGAGUAACACGUGGGUAACCUACCUAUAAGACUGGGAUAACUUCGGGAAACCGGAGCUAAUACCGGAUAAUAUUUCGAACCGCAUGGUUCGAUAGUGAAAGAUGGCUUUGCUAUCACUUAUAGAUGGACCUGCGCCGUAUUAGCUAGUUGGUAAGGUAACGGCUUACCAAGGCAACGAUACGUAGCCGACCUGAGAGGGUGAUCGGCCACACUGGAACUGAGACACGGUCCAGACUCCUACGGGAGGCAGCAGUAGGGAAUCUUCCGCAAUGGGCGAAAGCCUGACGGAGCAACGCCGCGUGAGUGAUGAAGGUCUUCGGAUCGUAAAACUCUGUUAUUAGGGAAGAACAAACGUGUAAGUAACUGUGCACGUCUUGACGGUACCUAAUCAGAAAGCCACGGCUAACU
rnacentral:rRNA from 1 species